AUUGAACGCUGGCGGCAUGCCUUACACAUGCAAGUCGAACGGCAGCACGGGUGCUUGCACCUGGUGGCGAGUGGCGAACGGGUGAGUAAUACAUCGGAACAUGUCCUGUAGUGGGGGAUAGCCCGGCGAAAGCCGGAUUAAUACCGCAUACGAUCUACGGAUGACAGCGGGGGACCUUCGGGCCUCGCGCUGUAGGGUUGGCCGAUGGCUGAUUAGCUAGUUGGUGGGGUAAAGGCCUACCAAGGCGACGAUCAGUAGCCGGUCUGAGAGGACGACCAGACACACGGGGAAUGAGACACGGCCCAGACUCCUACGGGAGGCAGCAGUGGGGAAUUUUGGACAAUGGGCGAAAGCCUGAUCCAGCAAUGCCGCGUGUGUGAAGAAGGCCUUCGGGUUGUAAAGCACUUUUGUCCGGAAAGAAAUCCUUGGCCCUAAUACGGUCGGGGGAUGACGGUACCGGAAGAAUAAGCACCGGCUAACUACGUG
rnacentral:rRNA from 1 species